AAUCAUGCCUAUGUUUAAAUUUGGUCGCUUUAUUUGUGUUUCAUCUUUUUCCCCUGAAAAUUGAAACUGGUGACAAAAUCUAUACGCAUCUUCGAUUAUUAUGGUUUAAAUGUUGAUGGGUGAAGUAUUUUGACUCGAUUACCAUCGAAUUUGCCAUUAUGAGGGAUUGAAUUUGGUCUCAUUUGAGCUCAUGAAUGUUUGUAAUUUCACCUGCAUCGUCUUAAAUAUGUAAAGUCAGUAAUAUGUGGGGCAUUAUUGUUAUUCGAUUUUCAUCAGACAAGAAUAAAGUUUCAAAAAUGUCGAACUUUUGGUAAAGUUGAGACCUUUACUUUUCUUUAAAUAAUUCUAUCUUGUUUUACGAUCAUCGUCCCUUCUCCGUCUAAAUCCCUCCUGCCCAGUUUAUGGAAAAUCCUCGUAAAACUUAGAAUAUUACAAAUGUACAUUGUGAAUAAAUAGGAGACCAUUUAGAAAGAUUUAUCUUCUGUUUUGGGUAACAUGUGGAUACAUUCUCCUAUGGUUGAACUUUUGUUUUAUGGAUUCCUUUUCACUCAUUUUGAAAUUGCGGUUGUUCUUGAGCCUUUUCUCUAUGUGAUCCUGAAUCAUCUUUGUAUUCAUAUACUUUGUGAAUUUGGAUGAACUGUACCAUCAAAUGGGAAUCUACUCUUUGCUAAAUUGACAUGAUAUUUUGCCUACUAUCAAGUAAGAUACAUGAAUACUGUAGCAUUCUUGCAUAUUAAUGUUAAGACACGUAUUAAUUCCUUCACUUUUCUUUUGCAUGUGAAAUCAUUCGAGUCCCACAUGGAUUGCUUUCCCCUUUUUUCCUGUUCAUCAUGGGCCAAUGAGGCCCAUCUCCUGAGUCAAGCCCAAAAAAAAGUUCAAAUCAAUUUCAUGGCACAUGGAAUAUCAGAAAUUGAAAAGGGAAAAUGGUUUAAAGCCCCCAUGAUUGAAGCGGCGAAGAGACUCAAGAGUCUCCUUUAUUAAUUUAUUCACUCAUUGUUGUCUUUUAUUUAUUUAUUUAUUUAUUUUUAUUUAUUUAUUCGAGCCACGAAGCCAAAGUUGUAACUAAUACAGGUGGAGCAAGCUCGAGCUAAGGGCUCGAAAACAUAGAAUUAGGACAGGUGGAAGACGGGCUUAAAGCCCAAUAUCUAGAUUAGGACAGGGUUGUCGAUUUGGGCCUAAUGGCUCAAGUCCUUAUGCUUCUAAUACCCUUUCCCUUUUACUUUUGCUAAUUUGCUUUAUGUGUUUUCUUGCGAACCUAGUUAAAAUCCCUAACUAAGUUGCUAAAAACUGGUUUUGCAUAAACACCAAAAUAUUUCUAAAAUCGCUUUCUUUUCAAAAACCAAUCUAUUUUAUAAAGUUAGACAAAAGACGUUUUCAAACAGUCCGGAUAAUCGUAAGUUAGCGGGCGUUUUAGGUUCCUAACACCUUCCUAAAACGUUAAUAGGAACCGCUUAUCUAGAAUCUCUGACUUAAAAUGAUUUUUCUGUUUCGAAUCAUUUGAAGUAACUCUCUAAAGGUUUCUUAAUUCCUUUUCAAAAUUAAGUGGAGACUCUCUUUCAAAAGUCAAAAUUUUUCGCAAAAUAGAAAUGGCGACUCUGCUGGGGAUUUUUAACUAGGUUCUAACCAAAUGUUUGAUUUCAUCUUGUGAUUAACUGUUUAUGUGUUUAUCUGUUUCGAUUCUGUAGAAUUUAAAUAUCGCAUCUCAUGGCAUAUUCCUACAUUAUUUAAAUUGUUUUGGGAUUUCGUGGGUAUCCCGGCCCCUAUAAUGUGUUGGAAAUACAAAUAAUUUAUUAGCACGUGAGUCGUCUGAUGGUUGUUUGUAUUUUCAAACUCAAGUUGUCCGCUUGAGAACCAGUGUUCAAACCCACUCUAGAUACCUAGGAUAGAGCGAAACCAAAACCCUAUUUCAGGCAUAAGCCUAGGACAACCCAAUACCCGAGCGGGCUACUGGACCCAUUAGAAAACCUGCCCUGCGUCUAUUGACCCCGAGUCAAUUAUAGACAAACCAUAUUUAUGUGUUGAAGAAAAUGUAUGCCUAUCUAAUUCAAUCCAUUAUUCUUUGGGGGUCGGAAAAAAGCUUGAUUUGUUUAUUUUUGUAAGAAGAAUUGAAGCAAGAUAAACAAGAAAUUGAUCGAUUUGGGAGGUUGCAUCUAAGGCACAAUUUGAACGUCAACGGAUGUCACCAAUAAAAGUAGUGGACGAAGCUAAGAAGGUGAAGGUUGAUAGAAGAAGCACUCGAGAAUUGGUAUUUUCUAUCCCCUGUGUGGGAACGUGUCUUCUUUCAUGUUAUUUCCCUUUCCAUAAAGAUUGUAUCCCUAUUUUGUUAUCGUUUGUAAGCAUUUAUGCCCUUUUCGUGUCUAUAUAAGUUGGAGGUUAAUGGAUUGACUUCGAGGAAUCAUAUAUUUUCUUCAAAAAUUGUUAGGCCUGAACCCUUGGCUCAAAAGGGUCACCCCAGCUAGGAUACGCCUUAUUAUAACAUUUUUGUGUGAUAUAACUGUUUCAUGUGAUUAUGUGCGUAUGUUUGAAUCAAAGACAAGUUUAUCCACUAUGUCCUAUGGACGAACUUUGCUAUGACUCAAACAACUCUAUGUGGUUAUUUCAUGUCAAAUAUUUUCCAUUAUUUAUCAUAUACGAAAAAUAACACAUCUGCCUUUGAGUUAUUUUACUUUACAGAUAAUAGAAAUUACUCUGUGUUGAUAUAAGCUGGCAGAACAUUUCUACUUCACCCGAUCGAAAACGCACAAAAUCCCAUCCUCUGACCAUCAUCCAGAAAUGACAGGAAAUGACAAAAAAAAUGCACUGACUAUCUGGGAUAAUGUGAUAGCGGAAUAGAAUGAGAUGAUUGCGGAACUUGCAAGAAAGUUAGAAAUGCUUUAGGAGAAAAUAAAUCGCACUCGGGAUUUGACUAGCUUGGCCAUCACCGUCAAUGCUCCCGAUCCGAGAGGACACAGGGCUCCACCCCAAAUCCCUCCCCUCAGCACCUCUAUUCUCGGGGACCAGCCAACUAACGUAUCAUCUAGCUCCGCUCCUCUAUUUGUCCAAAAUACUAAUCGUGAAAAUAAUCCAGACGCCUACCAUCCACAAAAUUCGUCUGUAACCCCACAGAACCCAUCUUCGAAUCCAUUCCCAAAUCCUCAAAACACAUUCUCAAAUCAACUAAACGCAUUUCCAAAUUGGCAAGAUUCAUUCCCAAAUCUACAAAAUACGUCAAACCUACCUUCGAAUCCACCAAAUUCAUUUCCAAAUCCGCAAAAUCCUUCUCCUCUAAAGUACUUACAAAGUCCAUAGAACCUUUACAAUUUCCAGAACAUCCUCCCCACUUACCAACCAAGUUCCCUCCUUUCGAAAAAUCAGGCCUCCCUUCCAAAUCCCUCUCAAGCCAUCAUAUCCCCUGAUAUCUAUGAACCCUUUCCUAACCCCGAGAUGGACCAUUACGAGGAGAAGGAGAAAGAAUGGAGGGCCCAGCAUGAAAAGAAUUUACUAGCUAUGAAAGAAGAGAUCAUAAGGAUCAAAGAGUCUCAUGGAGCCAAGGACCACGACGGUUUGGGGUAUGAUGAUUUAUGUGUUCACCCGAGAGUAGAUCUACCAGAAGGGUACAAAGUCCCUAAGUUUGAGAUGUUUGACGGUACCGUAAAUCCAAUGGCCCAUCUAAGAAGGUACUGUGAGCAACUGGUAGGGAUAGGGAAAAAUGAGGCGCUAUUGAUGCGCCUAUUCAGUCAAAGUUUGAAUGGUGAAGCCUUAGAGUGGUUCAUAUCUCAAGAGCCGAAAAAGUUGACUGGUUGGAAAGCAUUGGCCAAGAGUUUCCUUGACCGGUUCGCAUUAAACAUCGAAAUAGUCCCUGACCGGUAUUCACUAGAUCAGAUCAAACAAAAGAGCGUUGAGAGUUUACGAGACUAUGCUUUUCGUUGGAGGAAAGAAGCUGCCAAAGUGCAACCCCCAUGUCCGAGGAGGAAAUGGUAUCCGUGUUCUCUCGCGCUCAAGAAGGAGAAUAUUAUACCAGGAUGGUGUCCGCUGUCAGAGCAACAUUUGCAGAUUUGGUAAAAAUAGGAGAAUCAUUAGAAGAAGGUAUUCAGACAGGGAAAAUUGCCAAAACCCCGACAUCGUCUGGAACUGUCAUGUUUUCUAAGAAGAAGAAGGAAGAUGUAGGUGUGGUUUCUGCUAAUCUGUUACAAAAUCAAAACAACGGUUCAACUCUAGAAAUAUUUUAUCUUCCCCGCCAUCACGUAACCUUCUGCAUGCAUUUUACGCCCACCCCCAAUACCAAACUCCACUCCCAAACAUCCAAUCCUCAUACCAAGCUCCACAGCCAAACACCUUUCCCUAAUACCCAGUUCCACCUCUAAAUUAUCAGUCUCAUUUCCAAACCACUCCUUCAAAUAACCGAACAAAUUUCCAAAUGCCUCCAAAUUAUCACCAAGUACCCCCUCCUACAAACCUAAGCCAGUAUAACCCCCAACGUUUGAACUAAGAAAAGAAACCUCCCCAUAACUUCACCCCAUUAGCUGAAAGUCAUACCCAAUUGUUUGAAAGAUUGAGGGAUGUCGGUCAUUUGCAACCAAUAUAGUCAAAGAGUGUCAAUCCCAAAUCUCAAUUUUUUAAUGCAAGUCAGCAUUGUGCCUAUUAUUCGGGGGCAGCAGGGCACAAUACAGAGGAUUGUGUCCACUUGAAACACAAGAUCCAGGAUUUAAUCUAUCAAAAGGUCAUCAUGCUCCAGGCAUCUACUCCAAAUAUUAGCAGUAAUCCACUGCCCAACCAUGGGGGAUCUAUAGUCAACAUUAUUGAGAACGAGGGCAAAUGGACAUCUGGCAAGACCAUUACCCAGGUGAACUUUGAAAAGCACAAAAGAGCAAAAGAGGUAGGAAAGAUAGAGAAGGCUGUGGCUGCCUUAAGUAUCAGUGAGAAAACCCCAUUUAUAGUGAUGACAGCCCCGACUCAAGUGUAUGCUCCCUCGCCAAGAAAGAAAUUUAUUGUGCAAACCGUUGCUGCCCACGGGAUGACACGAUCGGGACGAUGUUACAUCCCUAAGGAAUUGACCAACAAAAAUGAUUCACAGAAACGGCCAAUCACUGAAGGAGAGGCUGAGGAAUUUUGGAGGCGUAUGCAACCAAAGAAUUACUCAAUUGUCAAACACUUGGAGAAAACGUCAGCCCAAAUCUCUGUAUUAGCACUAUUAAUGAGUUCGCAAUACCACCAACAGGCUUUAUCGAAGGUCUUGGAGGAAGCAUAUGUUCCCAUAGAAAUGAGUGUUAAUAAUCUAGAUGCAAUCAUAGGGAACAUUGUGGGGAGUCAUCGCAUAUCAUUCAGUGAUGAAGAAUUUCCAUUUGAAAGAGCGAUGCACAACAAAGCCAUGCAUGUCACCGUCGUUUACCGCGAUUAUGCGAUUAAUCGAUAUUAAUAGAUGAUGGAUCUGGUGUGAAUAUUUGUCCUCUCUCUAAGAUGGUUCAAAUGGGCUAUGAUUUAGGAAAAAAUUAUCAAAGCCACGUAAAUGUGAGAGCAUUCGAUGGUGGACAGAGAGAUACCAUAGGAGAGAUUGAUUUGCACAUCCAAAUGGAGCCUGCUGAGUUCAUGACUAAGUUUCAUGUUAUGGAUAUCCAUCCUAGCUACAACCUGCUCUUGGGAAGACCAUGGAUACAUGGUGCAAAGGCAGUUUCAUCACCCCUUCAUCAAUUAUUGAAGUUCAUUUGGGAAGAUCACAAGGUAGUCAUCCAAGGAGAAAGAAAUCGAGCGGACCGUCCCAAUGGUUAUGUGCCGGUGAUUGAAGAUGUUCCAAAAGGUAGCAGUUUCUAUACAAUGGAAAUUGUAAAUGCUGUGGACAGAGAUUCGACCCCCAAAGUACCAAUGCCUUCUGUCUACAAAAUAAUUGUAAUGGUGGUAUUAAGAAAUGGGUUCGAACCUGGUCGAGGCUUGGGCAAGAAUUUACAAGGAAUUAUCGAGCCUAUUGCGAUCCCAGAGAGAAGCUCUAAGUACGGGUUAGGAUAUCAGCCUACCAGGAAGGAUAGGGUUGAGGAUGAGCCAGAGAAGAGUCUGUUUGGGCCCUUGCCACUCCUGUUCCAGUCAUUUCCUGUACGAGAGUUGUCAGAUAAUGAUGGUCUUGGGGAUGGGAUAGGAGAUUUGUUCGAAGGAUGCAAUGUUGUACCAGAAGAUCUCCCAAAGUCCAACAGGGUGAAGCAGAUUGCGCCAGGGGAGGCAUUGCAAAAUUGGACCUCCGCUCCACUCAUAACCUAUUGGCUAUGGUGGUAGAUGAAAGGGCAAUUACUGAUAGUUUUUAAAAUUGGUGAUGAUCUGGAAAAGGCCCCGCGAUCCAUCUUUUAUAUCUCAAAACUUUAUUUUCGUAUCUUACUGCUUUAAAAAUGGCAUGGACUUGUAUUUGCACAAGUCAUGAGCCACGAUUUUGUAAUUAUCUCCCAAAUUUCAAUGAAAAGGCCUUCAUUUAUUUAGAAAAUUCUAUUAUUUCUAAAACACUUCUAGUCAUAUAUUUUGUUAUUAUCUUGUUAUCAUCUAACUUGGUUUGUUUGUCCAUUACAGUAACAGUAGCUUAAAAUCUGCCAAUAUCAUAUCAUAUCAAAGCUGAGGGGAACAAUGAUGAUUGGAAAAAUGAUGACGAGGAACGAUUAGUCAAAGAUAUGGAGGAAUUUGAGAAUCGCAAAAAACCCAAUCUGGAGAAAACUAAAACAGUCAACUUGGGAGAUUAUGAUGAAAUCAAAGAGACAAGUGUCAGUAUUCACCUAACGGUCCCACAAAGGAAAGAGCUCAUCCACCUGUUGCGGGAAUACAUUGAUGUGUUUGCUUGGUCCUAUGAUGAUAUGCCAGGGUUGAGCACCAGCAUUGUGUCACAUAAGUUGCCAAUAAAUCCGGAGUUUGAUCCAAUCAAACAAAAAAUAUGGAAAUUCAAGCCAGAUUUAAGUCUAAAGAUCAAGGACGAAGUGACAAAACAAAUCUAGUCUAAUGUUGUUGAGGUCACAAAAUAUCUGACGUGGUUGGCCAACAUCAUUCCUGUGCCGAAGAAGGACGACAAGAUUCAAAUUUGUGUUGACUAUAGAGACUUGAAUAGAGCCAGCCCUAAAGAUAAUUUUUCGUUGCCCAAUAUCCAUAUUAUCAUCGAUAACUGUGCAAUACAUGAAAUGUAGUCAUUCGUUGAUUGUUUCAUCGGGUAUCAUCUGAUAUUGAUGGAUGAGGAAGAUGCAGAAAAAAUAGCUUUUAUUAUACCCCGGGGUGUUUAUCAUUAUAGGGUAAUGCCGUUUGCUCUCAAAAAUACGGGUGCAACAUAUAUGAGGGCUAUGAUGAUGACUUUCCAUAAUAUGAUCCAUAAAGAGAUUGAGGUGUACAUGGAUGACGUAAUUAUCAAAUCCCGUGAGAGUUUGAAUCAUCUGACUCAUCUAGAGAAAUUUUUCAACAGAUUAAGAAGGUACAGUUUGAAAUUAAACCCUGCUAAGUGUGCUUUUGGUGUGCCAUCAGGGAAGUUGCUGGGUUUCAUAGUCAGUAAAAGAGGCAUCGAGUUAGACCUAUCCAAAAUCAAGACAAUUCAGGGUUUGCCACCGCCGAAGACUAAGAAGGAAGUUAUGAGUUUCAUGGGUUGUUUGAAUUACAUUAGCAGGUUUAUCGCACAUUCAACAGUCAUAUGCGAGCUAAUUCUUAAGAUGUUGAAGAAAAAUGCAUUGAACGAGUGGACAGAAGAAUGUCAGAGGGCUUUUAACCGCAUCAAGGAAUACUUGUCUGCACCGCCGAUUUUGGUUCCACCAAGAGAAAAAAUUCCAUUAUUGCUUUACCUGUCAGUCUUAGAAAAUGCUUUCGGAUGUGUCCUCAGACAACAUGAUGAGACCGGUAGGAGAGAGAAAGCCAUUUACUACUUGAUUAAAAAUUUCACGCCAUAUGAAGCCCGUUACACUCUUGUAGAAAGGAGAUGCUGUGCUUUGACUUGGAUGGCACAAAAGUUGAGGCAUUGUCUGUCGUCCUACACAACAUUCCUCAUCUCGAGAAUGGAUCCAUUAAAGUAUAUUUUCUAAAAGGCCAUGCCUUCAGGAAAGCUAGCCAAAUGGCAAAUGUUUCUGAGUGAGUUUGACAUUGUGUAUGUAACCCAAAAAGUAAUCAAGGGGCAGGCUUUAGCAGAUCAUUUGGUAGAGAACCUAGUUGAUGAGGAAUAUGAGCCACUUCGAACUUACUUUCCAGAUGAGGAAGUUUUGUUCGUAGGAGAAGACAUUACAGAGAUUUACCCUGGAUGGAGGCUAUUUUUUGAUGGGGCGGUCAACUUCAAAGGUUCAGGAAUUGGAGUAGAUUUAGUGUCAGAAACGGGCCAGCAUUAUUCGGUAACUACUAAGUUACAUUUUCCAUGCACCAAUAACAUGGCUGAAUAUGAGGCUUGCAUUCUGGGUCUCAAAUUGGCACUAGAUAUGGGUGUUCAUGAAUUAUUAGUCAUCGGGGAUUCAUAUUUCUUGAUUCUCCAGGUACGGGGAGAAUGGGCGGUAAAAAAUCCCAAGAUCACUCCUUAUGUGGAGCUGGUGCAAGAAUUAUGUGAAAUAUUCAAGAAAGUUGAUUUUAGGCAUAUCCCACGGAUACAAAAUGAGUUUACUGAUGCUUUGGCCACUAUAUCUUUCAUAAUUCAGCACCCGGAUCAGAGUUACAUUGAUCCUUUGGAAAUAAGCUUGGAGGAGCAACCCGCGCAUUGUGUACACGUGGAAGAGGAGCCUGAUGGAAAGCCUUGGUACUAUGACAUUAAAAGGUAUUUGGAAUCUGAAAUAUAUCCUGAAGAGGCUAGUAACAACCAAAAGUAGACAAUCCAGCGUUUGACAAAUAAUUACUUUCCUAGUGGGGAAAUUCUUUUUAGGAGGACUCCUAAUUUGGGAUUCCUAAGAUGUGUUGAUGCUGCGGAAGCCAAUAAAUUAAUAAAAGAGGUACACGCUGGAAUUUGUGGCCCCCACAUGAAUGGGUUUGUCCUUGCCAGAAAAAUCCUGAGAACCAGUUACUUCUGGAUGACUAUGGAAAAUGAUUAUUGUAAGUAUGUACAGAGAUGUCCAAAAUGUCAAAUACACAGAGAUCUGAUUCGAAUGCCUCCACACGAGCUUUACAUAAUGAAUUCACCUUGGCCUUUCGUAGCUUGGGGCAUGGAUUUCAUCGGACCAAUAGAGCCAUUAGCAUCGAAUGGGCAUAGAUUUAUUUUGGUUGCCAUUGAUUAUUUCACUAAGUGGGUUGAAGCGGCUUCCUACAGAGCCGUCACUAAGAAAGUGGUUAUGGAUUUUGUCAGGAAUAACAUAAUUUUUUGGUUCAGAGUAUCGGAAUCGAUUAUUACUGACAAUGGGGCAAACUUGAACAGUCACUUGAUGAAAGAAAUUUGUGAUCAGUUCAAGAUUGUGCAUCGUAACUCGACUGCAUAUCGUCCCCAAAUGAAUGAAGCUGUGGAAGAGGCCAACAAGAAUAUCAAAAAGAUCUUGAGAAAGAUGGUCAAAAAUGAUAGAUCAUGGCAUGAGAUGUUACCUUAUGCUUUGCUAGGGUAUCGCACAACAGUUUGAACCUCUACCGAGGCGACCCCCUAUUUACUUGUCUAUGGGAAUCAAGCUGUGAUACCUGCUGAAGUUGAAAUACCUUCCCUAAGGAUUAUUCAGGAAGCUGGUCUAAGUAACGAAGAAUGGGUUCGUGCUCGCUAUGAACAACUCAUGUUGAUUGAUGAAAAGAGAAUGGUCGUUGUAUGCCAUGGUCAGUUGUACCAACACAGGAUGGUUCGUGCCUUUUACAAAAAGGUGAAGGCUCGGGCAUUUGAAGUGGGGCAACUGGUUCUCAAACGAAUAUUCCCUCACCAAGAGGAGUACAAGGGCAAGUUCGCUCCAAACUAGCAAGGGCCAUACAUAGUUUGCAAGGUGCUAUCUGGAGGAGCUCUGAUUUUAUCUGAGAUGGAUGGCACGGAGUGGACCAAACCAAUCAAUUCCAAUGCGGUAAAGAGAUACUAUGUUUGAAGGACAUUCUAGGUUUUGUGUUUCUUUAGUUAAUUUACUUGUAAUCGCCUUUCUAAUAAUGUUGUUUUCUAGUGUGUGACUGUCUAGAGUCCUUUCCUCUUAUGUACGAACUAUGUUUGACCUGAAUUCUCAAGAAAGGGAUACGUAGGCGGACUAUGUCGACUUCGGUCAACCCCUUAGGAAAAUUUAUCCUCUAUGUAUGAACUACGUUUGACCUGAAUUCCCAAGAAAGGGAUACGUAGGCGGCCUAUGUCUGCUUCGGUCAACCCCUUAGGAAAAUUUAUCCAUUCCCUCUAUGUACGAACUACGUUUGACCUGAAUUCUCAAGAAUGAGAUACAUAGGCAGCCUAUGUCGGCUUCGGUCAACUCCUUAGGAUGAUUUAUCCUUUCCUCUUAUGUAUGAACUACGUGAUGACCUGAAUUCCCAAUAAAAGGGAUAUAUAGGCAGCCUAUGUCGGCUUUGGUCAACCCAUUAGAUUUUCUAUAUAUAUCGUUAGCGUAGUCCUGAACUAUGUUUGACCUGAUUCCUGCUUUAACGUGAUACGUAGGCGCCCCAACGGCUCGGUCAUAUAACCCCAGGAAAUGGAAACUGGGGCAGAAUUUUUGAGAAGUAAUCUCGAAAAUUCAAAAGAGAAGAUCGACAUCCAACAAACAGAAUGAAGAUUAGCAAAUACUUCAGAUCCACUCGGAUUGGUAUCAUCUCAAACAACUUUAAACUGAGGUAGAAAUGUUGUGGAAGACCUCAAAAUUUCCACCAAAUGCCGGAACAUAUUCCAAAUUCCCCAUCACCAGAGGUUAAAGCUUUGGAAGCCACCAACUGUAACAAAGUCUGGGUAGACUCAAUUUUUGGCUAUGAUAGAACUACUUAAAGAAACCCUCCAACAAUGAUCAUGAGUUUUGGAAACCAUCCGUCGAAUAUAGUCAAAACCACGAGGAGGACGUUCUUUGAGCUAGUACAUGACAUGACCGACAGAGAUUUUCUAAAGUUUUAUAGAAGUUUUUGAAAUUAUUUUCAAAAAUUUAAGUCUAUUUUCAAAAAUCUUAUGACUCACUUAUCUAGUACUUGCCUAGACAUCAUUUGGGAUGGAGUGUCAGGGUGGAAGUCCCAACACGACGGAAUGCCCGAGAGAUGGCAAGGAGCAAAUCAAGGAUCAAAGAAGGUCAACAUGGCGUAAUUUCAUUCAAACUAAUCAUUUUUCUGUGGAUGCAGGGAUAAAUACACAAAAAUGAGAGUCUCUUUCAAAAAUUCCCGAGAAAAUUGAGAGCCACAACAGAUCAUUAAUGCCUUAGAAUGAUAUUUUAGGAGCCUAGACAUCAUUUGGGAUGGAGUGUCAGGGUGGAAGUCCCAACACGACGGAAUGCCCGAGAGAUGGCAAGGAGCAAAUCAAGGAUCAAAGAAGGUCAACAUGGCGUAAUUUCAUUCAAACUAAUCAUUUUUCUGUGGAUGCAGGGAUAAAUACACAAAAAUGAGAGUCUCUUUCAAAAAUUCCCGAGAAAAUUGAGAGCCACAACAGAUCAUUAAUGCCUUAGAAUGAUAUUUUAGGAUAGCCCUAAAAAUGGGUUAACAGCUAUUUAUUGAGGACCUUUUGAUUUGUCCAUCUCAUUUCUUGAGAUCAUAGGCAACAAAUAAAAACGCCUAGUCUUCUUUACAAAUAUUGUAUUUAGAAGUUUCCUAAAAAUAGUCGCUAGCAAAAACGACUUUGUGUCUACUAAUCGCCUACCUUGAGCACAGGUACAUGUAGUAAGCAAGACGAUGACAGAUGAAUUCAGGUAAAAUUAUUUUUAUCAUUGCCCCAAGAGCUAUUGCAUAUCAUCGCCAUAAGGGCUAUUGCAUAUCAUCGCCACAAGGGCUAUCGCAUAUCAUUGCCACAAGGGCUAUUGCAUAUCAUCGCCACAAGGGCUAUUGCAUAUUAUUGCCCUAAGGGCCAUUACAUAGCAUUGCCGCAAAGUCCAUCUCAUACUAUCGCCCCAGAAGGCAUUCAACAUCUGUUGACAUGCUAAACAGAAGUGCUGGCGUCGAGGAUAUCUCAUCAUUUCAUGAAUCAGCAUAUGAAUGCAUCGAGGGUACACGAUUUGAAGGGACGUCUUUGAGUCGCUAUCCAAGAAUGAAUGAUAUAUAAGGUUUCCUGGAAAUUGACAAUUUGAGGGUCACCUAUAAGUCACAUUAUUUGAAAUAGGAUAGUGUGUAAAAUCACUUAUGAGUUGAUAGCCUAUAGGUCAUCCGUAAGCCACAAUAACAUCAUAACCGGAUAGUGUGCAAGAUCUCCCAAAAGUUGAUAGUUCAAAGGUUAUCCGUAAGUCGCAACUAAAUCCUUACCGGAGGAUAUGCAAGACUGUCAAAUUGAUACGUCAAAGGGUUCUCUAUAAGCCGCGUCAUAUCCAAGAUCGAUUAUGUGCAGAUUACCCAAAAACUAUCAAUUUGAGGGAUUAUCUAUAAGUCAUAUUGUAUCCAAGGUCGGAUGAUGUACAGGAACACCUGAAAACUAGCGAUUGGAGAGAUAUCUGUAAGCCAUCUCUUAUCCAAAGUCGGAUAAUGUGUAGAAUUGCCUAAAAGCUAGCAAUUCAAAGGAUAUCUGUAAGUCGCCUCGUAUCCAACAAUCAAAUAAUGCGCAAGAUUAUCCAAAGAUUGACAAUUUAAGGAAAAUUUGUAAAUCAAUCAUCGGCUAUAACCGGAGAGUUCAUCAUUCCACAUACAACAAGUGAUAUAGGUAACCAAAAGGGUUGCCACACUAGCAUAAGAUUACACGGUUGUAGGGACCGUUCUGUAAAAGUAUUAUCGGUGUCUAAAAGGGCCACCCUACUCUGAAGGUACAAGAAAGGAUGAUUUCGCUUUUUAGACAACAACUAAUGAUUUUUGUGUGAGAAAUUAUCGAGAGCAUCUUAAAGGAUGAAAAUAUCAAAUCAAAACCACAGGUGCCGACGACUCCAAAAAGGAUGCAGCACAACGUGGAACUCUUUCUCAGCAGCAAAACGGGACAUAGUCUGGAAAGGAAUGUCAAACUCUCUAGACGCGAGAUAAAUGAUGAUCACCACUACCAUCCAACCAUGCCUCUAUUAGAAGGCAUGUGGGUUUUUUUGGAUAUUAUGGUCUCAGCUUUACCUCUGGGAUGUUUUCUUAACUCAUAUCGAGGGAAACUUUCUCUUCCUUUCAAAUUCGGGUGGCAACACACUUAGAGUUUUGGAAUUAUGUCUGGGUAAGUUCUUAACUAUGGAUGUGAAGAGCUCCACAUUCAUAGUUAAGAGGUUACAAGCCUGUUUUCUGCAACUCGAUUGACUGGUCACCCAUCUUGAGCCAAAGAUCGUCUAAAAUAAGAGACUAUCUUUUCUACCGGUUGAGUCGAACUACAAGCAGUAUGAUUUCCUGAAUCUUGGGGAUAUGUAGGCAGGGAUCUAUGUAGAAAACUCGACUGCAUACCAACCUCCCCCCUAAUCCCUUUAUCCCCCAGUUUCUCGAUUUAAUCACAAACUCUAAAAUUGAGAUAACUUGUAAAUCUUUUGAAAAUCAUGCUCAAAAUCAAGCUUUAUGAACUACAAGUGGCCUGAAUUCUCAUGAAACCUAGGAUAUGUAGGAAACUUGAUACCAAGGUUCGGCCAUAACUCCAUGAAACUCAUGCGGAAAACCAACCUCUCUUAGAUACGAAUUUGUGGUCGGAUAAAAAUUAGGAACGUCAACCUCUCUUUGCCCAGGAUUACUUGCAUCCAUCCUACCCAAAGGGAGGGGGCAGUUGUUGACACCUAAUUUUUGCUCUCCACAACUACGUUUAAUCUCGAGUUUCUUCGAUUUUCAAAUAAAAUCACAACAUUAUUUUUCUCCAAAUAAACGCAUUUUAAAAUAUGCAUUUGGGUUAAAUUUGUCAUUUAAGUGAUAAUUAUAUAUUUUCAUAUUUGAAUAUACGGGAUUGUAUAAAUGAUGUCAUUUAAAUGAACAUUUUCAUCAAAAUUGGACAUUAAAUUAAGGAAUAUUAGGAAAAUAAAUAUAACUAAUUAAAUCUUGAUUUAAAUAUAAUUUAUUCUUACAAAUAAUCUAUUUACUUAUUUAAUUUUAUUGAAUUAAGAAGCUCAGGAUUAAACAAUGUGUUAAUUCGUAUCGAAUUUUGAUUUGAUUUAGUCCAUCUAUUAUAUUUGACUAUAAUUGAAAUCAAAUUGGCCCCAAUUGCAAUGCAAUUGGCCAAAUUGAUUUUCAAUUUGGCCUAAACUUAAAUGAAUUGGCCAAAUCCCCACUUCUUUCUCGAAAUAAACUACCCGACCCAGGCUCAAAAUCACCUACUUUCUCACACAACCAACCCUCCACACCAGCCCAGUCCAAAGCCCAAAAGUUGUCUGACCCGGCCCAUCACCUAUUAACCCUUCUCUUUUAACAAGAUAUCACCAAAACAAGAACAGCUUCAAAAAUACAACACAAUCAAUCUUAAUACCCCCAACCCGUCUUCGACCCAAAUUCGAUAACCCGAUUCCAAAUCGCGACAAAAACCCACCGACCCACUCGACCCAAAAUCCGUGUCCAACCCACGAACUUGUCCACAACAGCUUUGGAGAAACUUCCAAAAGCGGACAGCUCAUACACCAACGAUAACGGUACAAUUUCGUACAAUCCCACCUUACAAUCUUAUCCCCCUUUUCAAAAAUUGGAAUUCCCCCUUCUCAAAAUUUUGAAAUUACCCCUGUUAAUGAAAAAUCCCACAUCGAUGGAGCACAACGGGCUCCUGACUCUUGUUCCCUAUAAAAGCUCACCAUUGAGCAAAGAAAAAGAGAGAUUGGAGGGUUGAACAAGGGGGGAGGAAGUCAAAAUUAGGUUUAGAAAUUUUGAGGAUAAAAGUCAGGGUUCGAGAAUUAGGGCAAAAAAUUCUAGGGUAGGAAACAGGGGGAUUUUUUUUAGUUGAGGUAAAAAUUUGGGGGUUAGGUUCUCUGUAGAGAAAAUUUGGGAAUUUUAUUAUCUCCUCUUCUUUGCCUUUUGAUUUGGAAGUUUUAGAAGCAAAUUGGGUUCAAAAUAUUUUCAAAAAAAAAGCUAAGGGUUGAAGAUAUUUAGUUUGAAAAUCUAGAGGGUUUCAAAAUCUCUAAGAGGUAAAAGCAAAAGGACGCUCUGUUGGUGGUCAACGUCGUGAGAUUCUAGUAGCGAUAAGUUUGCUGAUAGCUCGGGUCCCUGUUUUGCUGCCCUGAAAGAGGUAAACCCAUUCUCGCCCUUUUAAAUUAGUCAUUUUCUGCUUCAUCUUUUUUUGCAGUAGAUUUAAUUAACUAUUUAGUUGUACGCAAUAUUGUUUGCUGGGUUGUCUGCUAAUUAGAGGUCUUAAAGAUCAUAGGUUAAUUGUUUUCAGUGGAAGACGACGCUGUUUGUUGUGUUACGCCAGAGUUAAUUGUUGUACUGUGUAGGACAUAUGGUUUUCGUCGUCUUUUUUGUGACCUGUUGUUAUCUGCUCGUAACACCCUUGAUAAACUUGCGGUCUAGUGACUCACUUUAUAUGUUGCUUGUGGUUUGAAUAGUUGGUUUCCUAGUUAAAGUUUGAUGCUUUGAUAUUGUUUAAUAGUUUUAGCCUGAUGUUGUUUUUAUUAAUAGCCACUUGAUGGUACUUUGUUUGUUGCUACUGUUGGAUUGUGUCGCCAUUGUUAAGCUAGCAACGUUGCUAGCAGAGCUACCUCUCAGGUUCCUUUGGCUUUUUAUGUACCAAAAGGAUAAUGAGCAAGGUCCAAAAGCGUGUUAGAAAGUCCUGGGAUUCCUCAAUGACCGCUUCAUUUGAAUCUGUCGUAAGGAGGAGGAAGAUUUGAAUCAGAGUCGUCCUUGCUGUAGAAUGUAGUAUUUUUCUUGUCUCCUUUCAUGGCACAAAUAGUAUAUAGCAAAUGCUCAUCGUUUUAUGAAGGAAUAAGUGUUGCUGGUAUUGCUGCAAUUUCCGUGUUAUGAAGUCCCUCUAGGAUAAUUCAAUUAGUUUGAUUUUUGUAUAUAUCAAAGAUUUCAAUAUGCGAAUAACCGAAUCUGUAUGUGUUAAAAGGCUUUAUGUUGUCCGUACGCUUAGCAAAGAAUGUUUGAAUCAUGCCUAUGUUUAAAUUUGGUCGCUUUAUUUGUGUUUCAUCUUUUUCCCCUGAAAAUUGAAACUGGUGACAGAAUCUAUACGCAUCUUCGAUUAUUAUGGUUUAAAUGUUGACGGGUGAAGUAUUUUGACUCGAUUACCAUCAAAGUUGCCAUUAUGAGGGAUUGAAUUUGGUCUCAUUUGAGCUCAUGAAUGUUUGUAAUUUCACGUGCAUCGUCUUAAAUAUGUAAAGUCAGUAAUAUGUGGGGCAUAAUUGUUAUUCAAUUUUCAUCAGACAAGAACAAAGUUUCAAAAAUGUCAAACUUUUGGUAAAGUUGAGACCUUUAUUUUUUCUUUAAAUAAUUCUAUCUUGUUUUACGAUCAU
rnacentral:lncRNA from 1 species